ACCACAUUCACCUCCCCCACCGAUUUAUCCAUAUCUGUCUCCACCGCCCCCACCAACACCAGUUUCUUCUCCACCACCCACUCCGGUCUAUUCCCCUCCUCCCCCACCUCCUUGUAUAGAACCACCACCACCUCCACCGUGUAUAGAGUAUUCACCUCCUCCUCCUCCACCAGUCGUUCAUUAUAGCUCUCCGCCUCCACCGCCAGUCUACUACAGCUCUCCGCCACCUCCACCAGUCUAUUACAGCUCUCCAC
rnacentral:lncRNA from 1 species